AGUAUUUAUUAACCAGCCCAUAUUUCCAGAGUUCAUUAAGAAUGUAGAGUUCUGAGUGGUUGUUUUGGCUGUUAAUUAAUGCUGAGUAGUAGUGGAAAGAAGUGGUUUAGCUAUUACAGUAUUUCAUUUCCUUACAUUUAGAGAGCUUUACUGUUAAUUGCUUGAUGUGACUAUAGGAUGGAAGUCCUUCCCUUUGCAUCUGGAGUAUAACAAAGGAAAAAGAAGAGCUGUGAUUUAGUGAGAAGAAAGAAAUAUGAUAUAAUUUGAACUGCCUGCUAGGAGCUACCUGAGAAUGUGCAUUACACAAAUACAGAAGAUGAGGCUUGCAAGGAAUUCUCCCAGAAGUAGAUCUUCUGGGAUGGGCAGAUCUGUGUGAGAAAGGACUCAGCAUCCUCCCUGAUGAGCUCAGUAAUACAUGACCUCUUACCAGAGGAGGCCAUCUUGCUAAAGCAGCACUCACACAACAUCACUUUUGACAGCCAGCACGCUGCAAGAAGCCGACAGCAAACAUCAGACCAUCUGAGGAUGUGUUCAGCAAGCAAGAGACAAACUGUGAUAUUUGUUCCUUGUUGCAGAACUGGUGGGCCUGCUACAGGAAAGUGUGCUGUGGAAUAGGCAAGCACUGCUGUAGCAUGCACUCAGCAGAGGCUGCACUGCAGCACUGGUAAGCAGGUACUGAAUAUCACCACCCAAAUCAGGCCUUCAGAUCUGUCUGCUAAUUGGGUAACGCUGUUAAAGUUAGGAGAUAAACCAAAGGCCGUUCCUUGCAGCUGGAGCCCCACAAAGGCAGGCCUAGGGCAGCCCACACCGCUGGGAGAGGGCUGCAGCACCUCUGCUGCUUGCUGGGCAGCGUCUGCCCGCCUUCCUGAGCUCCGCCUGUGGUAUCUGGAGCGAAGCGGGCUCGCAUUGUCGUCCCGCGCUCGCCCCAGGAAACAUGAUAUCAUUCUCAAACAAAAGCGGGAAAGCUGACAGAUCUAUUGAGACGGGUGUGACUGUGAUACACACCUAACCCGGAGAGCCCCUGUGGAAAAGGCUGCGCCGGGCGGCUCCUCGUGCCCUGCGGUCUGCGCUGCUAAUCUGCAUAGCCAAAUUUUUGCUUCUCCCGUGGUCGUGGCUUCAUGAAAAUUACUUGCUCUCUAUAGCAAGCAGGGAAAAGGGAAAGAGCUGGGUGAACUGGGCUUUCUUUUCCUCUCUGCCCAUAAUGGCAGCAGCACCAGUGCCGCCUGAGCCUCCUGAGGCUGUGGCCGUGCUUGGAUCAGUGAGCACUAAGCGGUCAUGAAACUUCAGCUGGAGAAUAGGAAUUAGCAAAAAAACCACAAUCUACUGCAGCAAUGGCUAAAGAAAAAUACUCACAAACACGCAUUCAACAGAUUUUAAGCACUUAAUUUUUUUACCUGUGUUAAUCUCCUGCAUAUUCUCACUGCCAAAGUAAUUAAAAAUUCAGUGACAUCUCAAAGAAACUAGUUCAUAAUGUCACUUAGCUAGUAAGAUGCUGCUAGUUGUGAAAAUUUGAAACUGUAAAGUGAGUUACACUACAAUGAGGACUUCUGCCUUUUCAUGCUACUUUCUGGUUUUCAGUGCAGCUCAAUAUGCUGUUUUACAGCAUCUAACUUUUUUACUUGGAGAUGGACUAGAAGGACCUAUGUGCACCUUUACAUCUUAAGGAGUGAGCUCAGAGCUAUUGUAUUUUUGUUUCGCAGAUUUUCCCUCGCAGAUUUCCUUGAAGAAACUCUCUAGAGAAUCAAAAUAUGGGUGGAGAUAGUAAUGCUUAAAAGUUGAGCAACUGGCAGCAGCUCAGGAAGGGGCAGGCUUCCUCAGUACUCUGUCUUUGAUGGCUUCAGCAGCAAAUCUCUAACAUUAGUGUUCCAGGUUCUACAAGCAAGAUUUGCUUUAUUGCAUAUGUCUCUUGUGACGAGCUGCUGAUUUGAUAACUAAUCAUAUUUGCUGUUAACACUGAAUUGUUCUUCAGUUGCACUUAAAGUUCUAUUGAUUAGUCUUAAACAACGUGGGUAUUUCCAGCCUUUUUGUUCACUGACUUCCAUCUAGGUUCCAACUGCAGAAUCUUGACCAAAAGCUUAUCUAAAAUCUAACACUGGAAUAACUGGAAGUGCCAACAUUUCCUGCUGCACAGCCACAAAGUAAGACACAGAAAGAGUCAACAUCUAGUUUGCAGUGUGAGUGUGUGCGUCAACAAGUGACUUCAGUGUUUAGGAAGAGACAGCCACAGAUUGUGAAUACAGAGCACACUCCCUGAUACCUUGCAUCCAGCCCUCCUCCCUUUGCCUGCUGUGGGAACAACUCACAGAGAUAAGUGAUCAUACUGGAGUAAACACAGGUAAUUAAUCAAUAAAGUGAUUCCCAGUGUGAGGAGUGGGGAGUUGUGUGUUUUGCCCACCCAUUGCUUGGGAAGCAAGAAGGGCGUGACAGGCCAGCUGUAGAUA